rnacentral:rRNA from 1 species
UGGGCCUGCCCGGUGAAUAACUAUUUAAACGGCCGCAGUGAAUAACUGUGCUAAGGUAGCGUAAUAAAUUGUCUCUUAAUUGGAGAAGGGUAUGAAUGGUUUGACGUGGUGGUAUCUGUCUCAGUAAUAAUAAGGUGAAGUUUUCUUUUUAGUUAAAAGACUUGAAUGGCGUUAAAAGACGAGAAGACCCUGUCGAGCUUGAUAAAAAUAUAGAGUGUUUUUGUAUAAUAAGUUUAGCUGGGGCAGCUGAAAACCAUAAAAUAGUUUUCUUUUUUUUGAAGAUCCGGUUUAUACCGAUCAUAAGAAAAAGCUACCGCAGGGAUAACAGCGUUAUCUUUCCUGAGAGAACUAAUUGAAGGGAAGGUUUGCGACCUCGAUGUUGGAUUAAAAUUUCUUUUUGGUGUAGCAGCUAAAAUAGUAGGACUGUUCGUCCUUUAAAAUUUUACGUGAUCUGAGUC